rnacentral:rRNA from 1 species
GACGAACGCUGGCGGCGCGCCUAACACAUGCAAGUCGAGCGAUGAAAUUUUAACCGAUCUCUUCGGAGAGAAGAUAAAAUGGAUUAGCGGCGGACGGGUGAGUAACACGUGAGAAACCUUCCUUUCACAAGGGGAUAGCCUCGGGAAACCGGGAUUAAUACCCUAUGACACAUUUCCUUCGCAUGGAAGAAAUGUUAAAACUCCGGUGGUGAAAGAUGGUCUCGCGCCGGAUUAGCUAGUUGGUGGGGUAACGGCCCACCAAGGCCAUGAUCAGUAACCGGCCUGGGAGGGUGACCGGUCACAUUGGAACUGCGACACGGUCCACACUCCUACGGGAGGCAGCAGUGGGGAAUAUUGCACAAUGGAGGAAACUCUGAUGAAGCGACGCCGCGUGAGCGAUGAAGGCUUUCGAGUCGUAAAGCUCUGUCCUAUGGGAAGAUAAUGACGGUACCAUAGGAGGAAGCCCCGGCUAACUACGUG